rnacentral:lncRNA from 1 species
CUGAAAUCCACGUGUCUAUGGCCACUCCCGUCACUGUGUCCAUGGAGACUGUAUCCAAUCAAAAUAAUGAUCAGCCUACCAUUGCCGUCCCUCCAACUGCCCAGCAGCCCCCACCGACCAUUCCAACUAUGAUUGCAGCAGCCAGUCCCCCGUCACAACCAGCCGUUGCCCUUUCAACCAUUCCUGGAGCGGUCCCCAUCACUCCACCCAUCACCACCAUUGCAGCUGCACCACCUCCAUCAGUCACUGUGGGUGGCAGUCUUUCCUCCGUCUUGGGCCCUCCCGUUCCUGAAAUUAAAGUGAAAGAAGAAGUAGAACCAAUGGAUAUCAUGAGGCCAGUUUCUGCAGUUCCUCCGCUGGCUACCAACACUGUGUCUCCAUCUCUUGCAUUGCUGGCAAACAACUUGUCCAUGCCUACAAGUGACCUACCACCUGGUGCCUCCCCAAGGAAAAAGCCUCGAAAGCAACAGCAUGUGAUCUCAACAGAAGAAGGUGACAUGAUGGAGACAAACAGCACUGAUGAUGAGAAGUCCACUGCCAAGAGUCUUCUGGUGAAGGCUGAGAAGCGCAAGUCUCCUCCCAAGGAGUAUAUUGGUAAUGGUCACAGGCUGACUUGUGUUAUGAUGCUUCCCAAUAAAGUCAGAGUCCAACCCAGAG